CAUUAAUAAUUUUAAUUUUAUGGGAUAUACAGAUGAAUUUUUUAACAUGGUAUCAUAUGAGCCAUUUUUUUAGGUAGUUUAGGCCUCGUUUUUUUCUCUUUUAUUGGGCUAGUACCCGUUUUGAUUAACCGUGCUUCGUCUAGGGCACACACCUUCUUUUUUCCCAAUUUUUUCCCAAAUUUCUUCCUGUUCUCGUGCUUUUUACUAGCAUUUUCAUGGACGAUAUUGAUUUUUAUCACCCUUUGUUCCUUCAUCCUUCUGAUACACCAGGAACGGUUCUUAUUUCUCAUCAUUUGAUCGGUGUUGAAAAUUACACUGUCUGGAGUCGCUCGUUUCGAAUUGCUUUACUCGCGAAGAAUAAGCUCGACUUCGUUGAUGGUGUUUGCCUCUGUUCGGCUUAUCCUGAAUCUCUACGUGCUCAAUGGGAUUGGUGUAAUGCUUUUGUGCUUUCCUGGAUUCUCAACACUAUCAGUCUGGAUUUGUCUGCGGGAAUCGUCUUUUCUUCUGAUUCUGCUGUAGUUUGGAAAGAUCUCAAGGAUCAAUUUAACAAAGUAGACGGUUCUCGUAUUUUUUUCUCCAUCGGUCUAUUGUGCAUCUCACUUAAGGUGAUGCUUUUGUUUCUUCUUAUUUCACGCAGUUAAAGUUGCUUUGGGAUGAAUACACUACUCUUGUUUCUUUUUUCGAUUGUACAUGCGAGGUUGCCGAGCAAAAUUCGAAUCACAUUCAUCAGAAGAAAUUAUUCCAGUUUCUGAUGGGUCUCAAUGAGACCUAUGCUGCAGUUCGAAGUCAAAUCCUCUUGAUGCAGCCUUUACCUUUGGUAAAUCGAGCAUACUCUAAGAUUGUCCAAGAAGAAGCUCAGAGGAGUUUUUCCUCUGUUCUGUCUCCUGUUCCCGGUCCUGUGGCUUUCUCUUCUACUGCAUCUGGAAGCCGUAAGAAGUUCACUGGCACCUGUGACUUUUGUAAAUUGAAAGGCCAUAAAAAAGAGUCCUGUUACCUGUUGAUUGGAUUCCAACCUGAUUUUAAGUUCAAUCGUAAGAAAGCUCUUCCGAUUUCUCUUGCUGUUUCCUCUGAUGACUCUUUACUUACUCCUCAGAGUGCCCCUACCUUCACUCCUCAACAAUAUUCACAGAUCUUAGAAUUGCUGAAUAAGAGUCAAGCUCCUGUUGCACCUGUUAUGAAUUGUGCAAGUAUACCUUCUAUGUCAUUUUCAGUUGACCGUAAUUUUCCUGGAUUUUGGACACUGAUGCAACUAAUCAUAUAUAUUUUGUUUAUAAGAGUUUGACUUUGCUUAUUGCUUACCCUCUUAACUCCCGUUUUGUUCAGCUUCCCAAUGGAUCUCUCCAAUGGCAGGAUGAAGGAGAUUGGUAGACACUUGUAUGACCUUUACUUGUUUGAGUCUUCUUAUUCCCUGGAAAAGUUCCUAUCGGAUGUAAAUGGAUGUUCAAGGUUAAACUUCGAGCUUUUGGUGAAAUUGAAAGAUAUAAAGUUCGUUUGGUUGCAAAAGGGUACAAUCAAAAAGUGGAGAUUGAUUACUUGGAAACUUUUUCUCCUGUUGCUAAAAUGGUCACUGUUCGAACCAUUUUAGAUCUUGCUGCUUCUUUCAACUGGUCAUUUUAUCAAAUGGAUGUCUCUAAUGCCUUUCUUCAAGGUGAUCUUUAUGAGGAGGUCUAUAUGACUUUACCUGAGGGUUUCCGCAGCCAGGGGAGCAUAUGGUGUGUCGGCUGCAGAAAGGGGAGCAUAAGGUUACUUUUACGCCACUUGAGCAUAAUAAAAAACUAACAACAGCAGAAUUUGAUGAAGUCACUCAGCAGCAUCAAGAAGAUAAGUUGUUAGAAGAUAAAACAGUUUAUCAGAGGCUCAUUGGAAGAUUGAUCUAUUUAACCCAUACAAGACCAGACAUCACCUUUGCUGUUACUCAUCUUAGUUAGUUCAUUCAAAAUCCAAAACAGUCACAUAUGGAAGAAGCAUUGAGAGUAGUGAGAUAUAUAAAAAGGGAUCUAUGGCUUGGAAUUUUUUUUUAAGGUUAUCAAUAAACACCAGUUGGUGGCAUAUUGUGAUUCAGAUUGGGCCUCUUGUCCAAUGUCAAGAUGAUCAGUUUCAGGUUUUUGUGUGCAGUUAGGAGGCUCACUUAUCUCCUGGAAAUCGAAGAAACAAUGUACUAUAUCUAAAUCUUUUGCUGAAGCAGAAUACCGAAGUAUGGCUGUUGUAACAUCAGAACUGGUUUGGAUUUCAGGUUUAUUUAGAGAACUGGAUAUAGGUGUAAUUGAACCAGUGAGACUGUUUUGUGACAACAAAGCAGCCCUUCAAAUAGCAGCAAACCUUGUGUAUCAUGAGAGGACUAACCACAUAGAGAUUGAUUGUCAUUUUGUAAGAGAAAAAAAUACAAGAAGGGCUUAUAGCUACUGAAUAUGUGUCAACAGCAGGCAGAUGUUAUGACGAAAGCCUUGGGGUCACAACAGCAUAGUCAUUUGAUUUCCAAGUUGGGGUUAAAAAGUAUUUUUAUACCUCCAACUUGAGGGGGAGUGUAAAAAGAGUUGUAGGCUGUUGAAGCAUUUAGAAUAGUUAGUUUUUUGUUAUGAAUCAGUUGUACAUGAGUUGUAUAAAUACAUUAAUAGUUGUAAUUUUAUGAGAUAUACAGAUGAAUUUUUUAACACUAA